rnacentral:rRNA from 1 species
UACGAAGGGGGCUAGCGUUGCUCGGAAUCACUGGGCGUAAAGGGUGCGUAGGCGGGUCUUUAAGUCAGGGGUGAAAUCCUGGAGCUCAACUCCAGAACUGCCUUUGAUACUGGCUAUCUUGAGUUCGGGAGAGGUGAGUGGAAUGCCGAGUGUAGAGGUGAAAUUCGUAGAUAUUCGCAAGAACACCAGUGGCGAAGGCGGCUCACUGGCCCGAUACUGACGCUGAUGCACGAAAGCGUGGGGAGCAAACAGG